GAUGAAGAACGUAGCGAAACGCGAUAAGUAAUGUGAAUUGCAGAAUCCAGUGAAUCAUCGAAUCUUUGAACGCACAUUGCGCCCGCCAGCAUUCUGGCGGGCAUGCCUGUUCGAGCGUCAUUUCAACCCUCGACCUCCCCUUGGGGAGGUCGGCGUUGGGGACCGGCAGCACACCGCCGGCCCUGAAAUGGAGUGGCGGCCCGUCCGCGGCGACCUCUGCGCAGUAAUACAGCUCGCACCGGGAACCCGACGCGGCCACGCCGUAAAACACCCAACUUCUGAACGUUGACCUCGAAUCAGGUAGGACUACCCGCUGAACUUAAGCAUAUCAAUAAGCGGAGGA
rnacentral:misc_RNA from 1 species